UGGGGAGUACGGUAGCAAGAUUAAAACUCAAAGGAAUUGAGGGGGGCCGUCACAAGCGGUGGAGCAUGUGGUAUAUUUUGCUGCAAAGCGCAGAACUUUACUAGCCCUUGACAUGUAUAGGAGGAUAUAAGUGAUGGUAUUGUCUUUUCGGAGACCUUUACACAG
rnacentral:rRNA from 1 species